UGGGGAAUAUUGCACAAUGGGCGCAAGCCUGAUGCAGCCAUGCCGCGUGUAUGAAGAAGGCCUUCGGGUUGUAAAGUACUUUCAGUCGGGAGGAAGGUGUCAAGGUUAAUAACCUUGGCAAUUGACGUUACCGACAGAAGAAGCACCGGCUAACUCCGUGCCAGCAGCCGCGGUAAUACGGAGGGUGCAAGCGUUAAUCGGAAUUACUGGGCGUAAAGCGCACGCAGGCGGUUGAUUGAGUCAGAUGUGAAAUCCCCGGGCUUAACCCGGGAAUUGCAUCUGAUACUGGUCAGCUAGAGUCUUGUAGAGGGGGGUAGAAUUCCAUGUGUAGCGGUGAAAUGCGUAGAGAUGUGGAGGAAUACCGGUGGCGGAGGCGGCCCCCUGGACAAAGACUGACGCUCAGGUGCGAAAGCGUGGGGAGCAAACAGG
rnacentral:rRNA from 1 species